rnacentral:tRNA from 1 species
GCAGCCGCUGGCAAAAGCCGUCGCGCGGCGGGUUAACGCUCCGUUGGCCUCCUCCUGCGGGCGACUGUUUGACGCAGUUGCCGCCGCGC